rnacentral:misc_RNA from 1 species
CGCAGUCGGCAUCCUUGAACUUGGAACCGUUGCGCUUGCGCAGAAAGGUCUUCAUCUCUUCGUCGAUGAUCUGUUCGUAAAGUUCGGCCGCGGUCAGACCUUCCGGAAACUCGGGAUAGCGGUAUUGGACACGCUCCACCGACGCGAGGAAAUCGUUAAAAUUGCGAUUACCUAACUGCGAUUCAAACGGAUAGACGAGGAUAUCGGGAUGACCAUCGAAAUGACGGUGGGUGACGUUUCCGCCGUGCUCGAAGCCCGCCGAGAUCAUGGCCAAUCUGAAAU